rnacentral:lncRNA from 1 species
GAGAGUCCCAAACGGCCAGCGGCUGGGAAUUUGCGGUAUCGCGGGGAGGUGGGAAAUUUCCCUUGGUGGGAAGGAUAUGUGCAAGAUAAAGCAGCCAGGGAUUUAAGUCUGGCAACAGUUGGACUGCUGGAUUUUCAGAGAAGUGUUCCCCAAAGCAAAUUAUGGUGCUAAUUUCCAAUAUUCCAUAAGCGUGGCAAGAAAAAUGGGAAGUUCUCGGUAAGGUAUAUAGUAUUAUUUCUAGAAAUAAAGAUGAACCAAUCCAAGAUUGAUUUUUUGUUUGUUUAAUCCUGGCAGUAUUCUUAACUAAAUCGUAUUCAUUCUUCCCUUUAGUUUCC